GGGGAAUGUUGGAAAAAUUGCAUUUUAUGGGAACUUUGAGGUAUAUUCUCAAUAGAUAAAGGUAGAGAUUGAACCAUAUAAUUAUGUUUUCAUAUUCUACUCCAUGAGACCUUUACAAUGGUAUAUCAUAUGCUUAAAAUGUUUGAUUGAUGAAUGAGAAAUUGAUGUUCAAAGUAAGCUACUUGGAAAUAUUGUUGGGGAAAAGUAAAGGCUUAGAUCCCACAUUAGUUAAAUACCAAGUGUGAGAUGUGUUUAUAUAUGUGAACUCUCUUGAAGGAUAAUUGAAUAACUAAGCUUGCAACCCUGCCUCGCGCGCAGGAGGUAUAGGUCCAAACCCAUUGGGGUUGAGUUGCGCCCGCACGACGUGGGCGACGCAAAAUUUUCGAACCGAUCGGGCCCAAAUGUGCUUG
rnacentral:lncRNA from 1 species